CUGGUUGAUCCUGCCAGUAAUCAUAUGCUUGUCUCAAAGAUUAAGCCAUGCAUGUCUAAGUACAUGCCGAAAUAAGGCGAAACCGCGAAUGGCUCAUUAAAUCAGUUAUGGUUCCUUAGAUCGUUUCUUCCUACUUGGAUAACUGUGGCAAUUCUAGAGCUAAUACAUGCAGUGAGCCUGGAGCCCUUUGGGUAACGGGUGCUUUUAUUAGACCAAGAUCGAUCGGGUUUCGGCCCGUAUUGUGUGGUGACUCUGGAUAACUUUGUGCUGAUCGCAUGGCCACGAGCCGGCGACGUUUCUUUCAAGUGUCUGCCUUAUCAACUUUCGAUGGUAGGUUACUUGCUUACCAUGGUUGUUACGGGUAACGGAGAAUCAGGGUUCGAUUCCGGAGAGGGAGCCUG
rnacentral:rRNA from 1 species